rnacentral:rRNA from 1 species
GCAUAUCAAUAAGCGGAGGAAAAGAAACCAACAGGGAUUGCCCUAGUAACGGCGAGUGAAGCGGCAAUAGCUCAAAUUUGAAAGCUGGCCUUCUGGUCCGCAUUGUAAUUUGUAGAGGAUGCUUUUAGGCAGCCGCCGGUCUAAGUUCCUUGGAACAGGACGUCAUAGAGGGUGAGAAUCCCGUAUGUGACCGGCUCUGGCACCUUAUGUAAAGCUCCUUCGACGAGUCGAGUUGUUUGGGAAUGCAGCUCUAAAUGGGAGGUAAAUUUCUUCUAAAGCUAAAUACUGGCGAGAGACCGAUAGCGCACAAGUAGAGUGAUCGAAAGAUGAAAAGCACUUUGGAAAGAGAGUUAAAAAGCACGUGAAAUUGUUGAAAGGGAAGCGCUUGCAAUCAGACUUGGACUUGGCUGUUCAACCGGUCUUCUGACCGGCCUACUCAGUCUUGUCCAGGCCAGCAUCAGUUUCGGCGGCCGGAUAAAGGCCCUGGGAAUGUAGCUGUCUCUUCGGGGACAGUGUUAUAGCCCAGGGUGUAAUACGGCCAGCCGGGACUGAGGUCCGCGCUUCGGCUAGGAUGCUGGCGUAAUGGUUGUAAGCGGCCCGUCUUGAAACACGGACCAAGGAGUCUAACAUCUAUGCGAGUGUUAGGGUGUCAAACCCUUACGCGUAAUGAAAGUGAACGGAGGUGGGAACCCGCAAGGGUGCACCAUCGACCGAUCCUGAUGUCUUCGGAUGGAUUUGAGUAAGAGCAUAGCUGUUGGGACCCGAAAGAUGGUGAACUAUGCCUGAAUAGGGUGAAGCCAGAGGAAACUCUGGUGGAGGCUCGCAGCGGUUCUGACGUGCAAAUCGAUCGUCAAAUUUGGGUAUAGGGGCGAAAGACUAAUCGAACCAUCUAGUAGCUGGGUUCUGCGAG